rnacentral:tRNA from 1 species
GCUUUCGUGGUGUAACUGGAAGCAUACUCGACUCGUAUUCGAGAGGUCUAGGGUUCGAGUCGGGGCGAGAGCA